UACGUAGGGGGCAAGCGUUGUCCGGAUUUAUUGGGCGUAAAGAGCGUGUAGGCGGCCAGGUAGGUCUGCUGUGAAAACUCGAGGCUCAACCUCGAGACGUCGGCGGAAACCAUCUGGCUAGAGUCCGGAAGAGGAGGGUGGAAUUCCUGGUGUAGCGGUGAAAUGCGCAGAUAUCAGGAAGAACACCCGUGGCGAAGGCGGCUCUCUGGGACGGUACUGACGCUGAGACGCGAAAGCGUGGGGAGCGAACAGG
rnacentral:rRNA from 1 species